CGGACGGGUGAGUAAUGCCUAGGAAUCUGCCUGGUAGUGGGGGACAACGUUUCGAAAGGAACGCUAAUACCGCAUACGUCCUACGGGAGAAAGCAGGGACCUUCGGGCCUUGCGCUAUCAGAUGAGCCUAGGUCGGAUUAGCUAGUUGGUGAGGUAAUGGCUCACCAAGGCGACGAUCCGUAACUGGUCUGAGAGGAUGAUCAGUCACACUGGAACUGAGACACGGUCCAGACUCCUACGGGAGGCAGCAGCA
rnacentral:rRNA from 1 species